AUUGAACGCUGGCGGCAUGCCUUACACAUGCAAGUCGAACGGUAACAGGUCUUCGGAUGCUGACGAGUGGCGAACGGGUGAGUAAUACAUCGGAACGUGCCUAGUAGUGGGGGAUAACUACCCGAAAGAGUGGCUAAUACCGCAUGAGAUCUACGGAUGAAAGCAGGGGAUCGCAAGACCUUGUGCUACUGGAGCGGCCGAUGGCAGAUUAGGUAGUUGGUGGGAUAAAAGCUUACCAAGCCGACGAUCUGUAGCUGGUCUGAGAGGACGAUCAGCCACACUGGGACUGAGACACGGCCCAGACGCCUACGGGAGGCAGCAGUGGGGAAUUUUGGACAAUGGGCGCAAGCCUGAUCCAGCAAUGCCGCGUGCAGGAUGAAGGCCUUCGGGUUGUAAACUGCUUUUGUACGGAACGAAAAGCCCUGGGUUAAUACCCUGGGGUCAUGACGGUACCGUAAGAAUAAGCACCGGCUAACUACGUGCCAGCCGCCGCAGUAAAAC
rnacentral:rRNA from 1 species